UGUUGGACCCAAACUUUAGGGAUUAACAGGGUGACUUCUCCUCAGGAAUGCUGCUCCGACAGCCAAGACCCACCCACCCACAGCUGCCUGCGCCAGACAGGUGCAAGGCUGAGCCCAGGAGGGUGAGGGUGGGUGAGGGGAUAAAGGUGGAGGAGGUGGAGAGGAGGAGACCACAUUUCCAUAUGGAGGCUGCAUUCCUCCUUAUCCUGCAGCUCACACAAACAAUGGAUGAAGAAGACGAAAGGUUCUUUUUUUCUCCGUGAAGGUGGAAAAGUGGAUCAGCUUCUCCGCUGUUCUCCCGCCUCAUCCACAGCAAACAUGGCCGCCUUCAGCGAGUGCGUUUGUCUCGCCAUCAAUAAUGUUAGGGACUGCGGCGGAUCUUGCCCACACUUGCUGCAGAGUUAAACAUUACUUUGCAAAACUGCAAAAGAAGGGAUUAAUUUUCUGCAGGAUCACAUCAUUAUUGCAGUAUCUGUAAAUAGACAGCCGUUCCCGCCACAUCCUCAGGAUUUGCUCAGGCAGCAACAAAGGACAAAAAGCACCGCUGCUGAUCUACAACAAGCCCUUGUUCAGCAGCAGGAAAAUCCCUGGCACAUCUCGCUUUGAAGCCGCUGGGAUUCCUGUGUAGUCAGCUCGAACAUCUGGCAAACACCAGGACAAGACGCAGAGCUCAGGUGGCGGGAUCCACUCUCUGAAAGGAGAAAAUGUACAGGACAAAGACGAACAGGAGGAGCAGGAAAUCCUAAAGCGACAAAAAAACAACAUCUAUCAACAAAACAAUCACACAACAGGUUUUAUUGAUUGUAUCAAUUUGAAAUAUGACUCUGCCUUCACUAAAGCCCAAAUGACGUUACAGUCACAUGUAUUAUUCUCCCGUCCCCACGCUGGUGGUGGAAGAUCUUCUUCCUGUUUCUGCUAAAUUAAACUUUGUCGUUUGGUUUAGUUAAAUUCUUGCCUUUUUGUUGGUAUCGUUCACUUCAUUUUCUCUGUUGAUUUGUGCCAGAUGUGUCAGUCAUUGACACAUCUGGGGUUCAUUUUUCUCAUUAGUUGAUUUUUUAUUAAGGUUUGCUGUUUUUCUCUCUUUAAAUGAUCACCAAAGCCAUAUUUUGCACACUUCUGCUCCUCUAGCUGGACUGUUUUGGAAAUAAUACGACAUCUUCUUCCAGCUGAUCUCCUGCGUUUGUGCAGAGGUUAUUUAUCCAGUUCCCGGUGAUCAACUGGCUCCAUUUCAGUCUGUUUCUGAUAUUUGAGGUAUUAAAAAUUGUUUUUAACAG